rnacentral:tRNA from 1 species
GGACGUAUAGCUCAGUCGGUAGAGCAGCUGACUCUUAAUCAGCGGGUCCCAGGUUCGAGCCCUGGUGCGUCCACCA